ACUCUCACGACACCUCGCAAGCACGUGUUCCUUUUCAACUAUAAAAACAAACUGCUCAGUCAAUAAAAAUUGUACAUGCUAUAAACUUUCGUACGCAAUCACUUGUUUUGCAAAAGUACACGGCAUACGCUACGCAAUGUUUAUAGAAACUAGAAACAACAGAGAGUCAACUAAGAUGAACAUCUUACUUUACAAGCUGAUGAAACUGAUCGUCAUUAUAAUAUCGAUUUUGAUAGCAUGCGCCAGGAAUAGUGCUUUGCGACAGGGUCGUUGAGCUACAAAAAUGAGAGUAGGCAACUAUUGAAACAGACACCGCUGAAGAAAAACAAAACUGGAUUAUAAAUGUUAAAAUAAAAAGUGUGUAGCA